GAAAUGUCAGCGUGGGUACCUCAUUUUGGGAUAAGAUUUUGGAAACUCGUGUCACUCAUGCACCUGCAUAGAGCUCGUAGCCCGUACGACCAGAAUCUUUCAACUUGUACACAAAAAGUCUAAUACAAAAUGACACAGAUGCAUUGUGCUUGAUAAAAAUGAUCCCCUGAAAAAUACAUGGCUGGCUGCUCAUUGGAAGAAAAAACUGACCAAGGCCGAUGUUUUAGAGACUAACAUUAAAAAAAAUCUUGAGGACAUUUUCAUUCGGUUCCAGAAAAAAGAUUUGUCAAUUGGGGCUAGUGGCCACUUGACAUUUGGUGCUGUUCAAAUCUACGCAAGGAAAGUAAAGUAUUUGUUAACGGAUUGCAAAGAUUUUGUUAAUAACUUUAAGAAAAAUCUU